AGGACACACUCAAUUAUUACAGCUGGGGAGACACUGGAUACUGGAUUGGCCUGAGAGCUGAAGGAGGGAAAUGGAAGUGGAUGGAUGGAACUGAGCUGGCUCAAACCUCCUGGAUAGGAGAUGCUACUGAAGGUCACUGUGCUGUUUCAAUCCAGGGUGAAAGAUGGAGCUCAGUGAGCUGUGGCGCCCGACAACGAUGGAUCUGCAUACAGGACGCUUUAUCUCUUUGAACUUCUCACACUUCAUACUUGAGAAGGUUUCUGGAUUCUCUUGCAUGUAAUAUCACGUGGCUCAUAAAUAUCAAACUGUGUAGACUUCUACUUCACAACUAUGUUUUUAAAAGCUAAACAACUAUAUCUAUACUAAAACAUAUAUAUGUUGUAUGACGUAAACUAUUCUUCAAAGCAGACGCUGACCUUUAAAGUGUAUUAUUAGAUAACGGCCUGAAGGGGCUCUAAAGUGUUAAAUAUGAAUAAUAAUUUGUGUUUUCCUUCUGAUUUGUUAAGCACUGCUUAUGACUUAUAGAUCUGCAGAUUGAUGAAAGGCACCAACAAGCUCAGGUUCCUAUCUGUAGUUGUAUAUCGUUGCUACUCAUUAGCUGCAUCGCUUGUUCUCAGCAGGAUGUCCCAGAGUCUGUUUCCAUGAAGUGUUCAGAUCUUCACAUGUUUGACUUUACAGCUGAUGGCUGACGCCUUCGUCCAUCUGGAGGCAUCGAGUUCAUAUUUCAGUCUGUUGUCACCUGUGAAUAAAUGUGCUGCCACACGU